GACAGAGGGUGCAAACGUUGUUCGGAAUUACUGGGCGUAAAGCGUGUGUAGGCGGCCAUAUAAGUCGGAUGUGAAAGCCCUGGGCUCAACCCAGGAAGUGCACUCGAUACUGUAUGGCUUGAGUACUGGAGAGGUUGGUGGAAUUCUCGGUGUAGAGGUGAAAUGCGUAGAGAUCGGGAGGAACACCUGUGGCGAAGGCGGCCCCCUGGGCCGGCCCUGACACUGAGACGCGAAGGCGUGGGGAGCGAACGGG
rnacentral:rRNA from 1 species